rnacentral:rRNA from 1 species
CCCUUAGAUGUUCUGGGCUGCACGCGCGCUACACUGAUGCGUUCAACGAGUUUAUCACCUUGCCCGAUAGGGUUGGGUAAUCUUUUGAAAACGCAUCGUGAUGGGGAUAGAUUAUUGUAAUUAUUAAUCUUCAACGAGGAAUUCCUAGUAAGUGCGAAUCAUCAGUUCGCGCUGAUUACGUCCCUGCCCUUUGUACACACCGCCCGUCGCUCCUACCGAUUGAGUGGUCCGGUGAAGCCUCGGGAUUGUGGUUCUUGCCGCUUUAUUGUGGCGUGACCGCGAGAACUUGUCUAAACCUUAUCAUCUAGAGGAAGGUGAAGUCGUAACA